rnacentral:rRNA from 1 species
GCAAGUCGAACGAGAACGGGUUAAAGUUUACUUUAACUGACAGCUAAGUGGCGCACGGGUGAGUAAUAUAUAGUUAAUCUGCCCUAGAGAGAGGGAUAACGUUUGGAAACGGACGCUAAUACCUCAUAUGCCUUUAAGUCAAAAGACUGCAAGGGAAACAUUUAUGGCUCUAGGAUGGGACUGUACGGUAUCAGUUAGUUGGUGAGGUAAUGGCUCACCAAGACAAUGACACCUAGCUGGUCUGAGAGGAUGAUC